UCUCCGUAGGUGAACCUGCGGAAGGAUCAUUAGUGAAUUGAAUAUGUUAGCGGACCUCUUCGGAGUCCCUAGCAUCAAAUCAUAUCCAUAACACCUGUGAACUGUAAGGCUGUCUUGAAAACGAAAGUGAUUAGAGCGCCUGCCAUUUUAUACAAACAUUAAAGUAACAAACGUAGUCUUAUUAUAAUCUAAUAAAACUUUCAACAACGGAUCUCUUGGCUCUCGCAUCGAUGAAGAAGCAGC
rnacentral:misc_RNA from 1 species